GAUGAACGCUGGCGGCGUGCCUAAUACAUGCAAGUCGAGCGAAUGGAUUAAGAGCUUGCUCUUAUGAAGUUAGCGGCGGACGGGUGAGUAACACGUGGGUAACCUGCCCAUAAGACUGGGAUAACUCCGGGAAACCGGGGCUAAUACCGGAUAACAUUUUGAACCGCAUGGUUCGAAAUUGAAAGGCGGCUUCGGCUGUCACUUAUGGAUGGACCCGCGUCGCAUUAGCUAGUUGGUGAGGUAACGGCUCACCAAGGCAACGAUGCGUAGCCGACCUGAGAGGGGGAUCGGCAAAAGUAGGACUGAGACACGCCCCAGACUCCUACGGGAGGCAGCAGUAGGGAAUCUUCCGCAAUGGACGAAAGUCUGACGGGGCAACGCCGCGUGAGUGAUGAAGGCUUUCGGGUCGUAAAACUCUGUUGUUAGGGAAGAACAAGUGCUAGUUGAAUAAGCUGGCACCUUGACGGUACCUAACCAGAAAGCCACGGCUAACUACGUGCCAGCCGCCGCGGUAA
rnacentral:rRNA from 1 species